rnacentral:antisense_RNA from 1 species
CUUCACCGAGCCGAGCAGCAGCGCCGGCCCGUCCGCCCGGUCCUGCCCGUAGGUCGCCAGCAGGGCCUGGGCCUC